rnacentral:rRNA from 1 species
GCAGGCCUAACACAUGCAAGUCGAGCGCAGUCCUUCGGGACCGAGCGGCGGACGGGUGAGUAAUGCUUGGGAAUAUGCCUUUGAGUGGGGGACAACAGUUGGAAACGACUGCUAAUACCGCAUAAUGUCUACGGACCAAAGGGGGGGAUCUUCGGACCUCUCGCUCAUAGAUUAGCCCAAGUGAGAUUAGCUAGUUGGUAAGGUAAUGGCUUACCAAGGCGACGAUCUCUAGCUGGUUUGAGAGGAUGAUC